GGUUAGCUCAGUGGAAGAGCGCCCGGCUUUUAACCGUGUGGUCGUGGGU
rnacentral:tRNA from 12 species